GGGUUGUGAGGUUAAGCGACUAAGCGUACACGGUGGAUGCCCUGGCAGUCAGAGGCGAUGAAGGACGUGCUAAUCUGCGAAAAGCGUCGGUAAGGUGAUAUGAACCGUUAUAACCGGCGAUGUCCGAAUGGGGAAACCCAGUGCAAUUCGUUGCACUAUCGUUAACUGAAUACAUAGGUUAACGAGGCGAACCGGGGGAACUGAAACAUCUAAGUACCCCGAGGAAAAGAAAUCAACCGAGAUUCCCCCAGUAGCGGCGAGCGAACGGGGAGCAGCCCAGAGUCUGAAUCAGCUUGUGUGUUAGUGGAACGGUCUGGAAAGUCCGACGGUACAGGGUGAUAGUCCCGUACACCAAAAUGCACAGGCUUGUGAACUCGAAGAGUAGGGCGGGACACGUGGUAUCCUGUCUGAAUAUGGGGGGACCAUCCUCCAAGGCUAAAUACUCCUGACUGACCGAUAGUGAACCAGUACCGUGAGGGAAAGGCGAAAAGAACCCCGGCGAGGGGAGUGAAAAAGAACCUGAAACCGUGUACGUACAAGCAGUGGGAGCACCUUCGGGUGUGACUGCGUACCUUUUGUAUAAUGGGUCAGCGACUUAUAUUCUGUAGCAAGGUUAACCGUAUAGGGGAGCCGCAGGGAAACCGAGUCUUAACUGGGCGUUAAGUUGCAGGGUAUAGACCCGAAACCCGGUGAUCUAGCCAUGGGCAGGUUGAAGGUUGGGUAACACUAACUGGAGGACCGAACCGACUAAUGUUGAAAAAUUAGCGGAUGACUUGUGGCUGGGGGUGAAAGGCCAAUCAAACCGGGAGAUAGCUGGUUCUCCCCGAAAGCUAUUUAGGUAGCGCCUCGUGAACUCAUCUUCGGGGGUAGAGCACUGUUUCGGCUAGGGGGUCAUCCCGACUUACCAACCCGAUGCAAACUACGAAUACCGAAGAAUGUUAUCACGGGAGACACACGGCGGGUGCUAACGUCCGUCGUGAAGAGGGAAACAACCCAGACCGCCAGCUAAGGUCCCAAAGUCAUGGUUAAGUGGGAAACGAUGUGGGAAGGCACAGACAGCCAGGAUGUUGGCUUAGAAGCAGCCAUCAUUUAAAGAAAGCGUAAUAGCUCACUGGUCGAGUCGGCCUGCGCGGAAGAUGUAACGGGGCUAAACCAUGCACCGAAGCUGCGGCAGCGACACUAUGUGUUGUUGGGUAGGGGAGCGUUCUGUAAGCCUGCGAAGGUGUGCUGUGAGGCAUGCUGGAGGUAUCAGAAGUGCGAAUGCUGACAUAAGUAACGAUAAAGCGGGUGAAAAGCCCGCUCGCCGGAAGACCAAGGGUUCCUGUCCAACGUUAAUCGGGGCAGGGUGAGUCGACCCCUAAGGCGAGGCCGAAAGGCGUAGUCGAUGGGAAACAGGUUAAUAUUCCUGUACUUGGUGUUACUGCGAAGGGGGGACGGAGAAGGCUAUGUUAGCCGGGCGACGGUUGUCCCGGUUUAAGCAUGUAGGCUGAUUGUCCAGGCAAAUCCGGAUAAUCAAGGCUGAGGUGUGAUGACGAGGCACUACGGUGCUGAAGUAACAAAUGCCCUGCUUCCAGGAAAAGCCUCUAAGCAUCAGGUAACAUCAAAUCGUACCCCAAACCGACACAGGUGGUCAGGUAGAGAAUACCAAGGCGCUUGAGAGAACUCGGGUGAAGGAACUAGGCAAAAUGGUGCCGUAACUUCGGGAGAAGGCACGCUGGUGUGUAGGUGAAGUCCCUGCGGAUGGAGCUGAGACCAGUCGAAGAUACCAGCUGGCUGCAACUGUUUAUUAAAAACACAGCACUGUGCAAACACGAAAGUGGACGUAUACGGUGUGACGCCUGCCCGGUGCCGGAAGGUUAAUUGAUGGGGUUAUCCGUAAGGAGAAGCUCUUGAUCGAAGCCCCGGUAAACGGCGGCCGUAACUAUAACGGUCCUAAGGUAGCGAAAUUCCUUGUCGGGUAAGUUCCGACCUGCACGAAUGGCGUAAUGAUGGCCAGGCUGUCUCCACCCGAGACUCAGUGAAAUUGAACUCGCUGUGAAGAUGCAGUGUACCCGCGGCAAGACGGAAAGACCCCGUGAACCUUUACUAUAGCUUGACACUGAACAUUGAGCCUUGAUGUGUAGGAUAGGUGGGAGGCUUUGAAGCGUGGACGCCAGUCUGCGUGGAGCCAACCUUGAAAUACCACCCUUUAAUGUUUGAUGUUCUAACGUUGGCCCCUGACCGGGGUUGCGGACAGUGUCUGGUGGGUAGUUUGACUGGGGCGGUCUCCUCCCAAAGCGUAACGGAGGAGCACGAAGGUUAGCUAAUCCUGGUCGGACAUCAGGAGGUUAGUGCAAUGGCAUAAGCUAGCUUGACUGCGAGCGUGACGGCGCGAGCAGGUGCGAAAGCAGGUCAUAGUGAUCCGGUGGUUCUGAAUGGAAGGGCCAUCGCUCAACGGAUAAAAGGUACUCCGGGGAUAACAGGCUGAUACCGCCCAAGAGUUCAUAUCGACGGCGGUGUUUGGCACCUCGAUGUCGGCUCAUCACAUCCUGGGGCUGAAGUAGGUCCCAAGGGUAUGGCUGUUCGCCAUUUAAAGUGGUACGCGAGCUGGGUUUAGAACGUCGUGAGACAGUUCGGUCCCUAUCUGCCGUGGGCGCUGGAGAAUUGAGGGGGGCUGCUCCUAGUACGAGAGGACCGGAGUGGACGCAUCACUGGUGUUCGGGUUGUCAUGCCAAUGGCACUGCCCGGUAGCUAAAUGCGGAAGAGAUAAGUGCUGAAAGCAUCUAAGCACGAAACUUGCCCCGAGAUGAGUUCUCCCUGAGACUUUAAGUCUCCUGAAGGAACGUUAAAGACGAUGACGUUGAUAGGCCGGGUGUGUAAGCGCAGCGAUGCGUUGAGCUAACCGGUACUAAUGAACCGUGAGGCUUAACCUUACAACGCCGAAG
rnacentral:rRNA from 1 species